UGCAGUGUAGUGCAGUUGUUUUGAGCACUCAACUAUGAUUCUGCAGAUCAGGGUUCAAAUCCCUGCUGAGCCA